rnacentral:rRNA from 1 species
GGGGGCUAGCGUUGUUCGGAAUUACUGGGCGUAAAGCGCACGUAGGCGGCUUUGUAAGUUAGAGGUGAAAGCCCGGGGCUCAACUCCGGAAUUGCCUUUAAGACUGCAUCGCUAGAAUUGUGGAGAGGUAAGUGGAAUUCCGAGUGUAGAGGUGAAAUUCGUAGAUAUUCGGAAGAACACCAGUGGCGAAGGCGACUUACUGGACACAUAUUGACGCUGAGGUGCGAAAGCGUGGGGAGCAAACAGG